rnacentral:lncRNA from 1 species
AAGGAGCCCUGUAACAAUCCUUAUUUGAUUUUUAUGCAAUGCAAGCAACUUUUUAGUUCUCUGUAAUGAAGAACCUAAAAUAAGAGUCUUUGCUUACCUUAAUCCAAAAGUGGACCUCCAGAGGGAGAGAUAUUGAGCUGCCAGCUAGUUCCUGAUGAUUUGUUCAAAAUGUAUCAGAUCUGAUGCUCAAAGCAGCUCAAGUCCAAAAAGAGAAAAGAUGCAUCUUCUUUGGCCAACACUCUGUAUCUUAUUGCUGUCAAUCCUUUUGUGUUUUGGCACUCAAACAAGUUGAAUCCAGUUCCUAGUAGUCAAUUCCACAAAUUGGAAACAGAUUUUUCUCUUCUGUUUCUAUCAGGUUGAUUUAUAGUGCAUAAUGAUAAUUUGAGCUUAAACUUAUUUGCAAAAAAACUCAAGUCACCUGCUAAUUUACAAAAUGUUUUUAGCUUAAUGAAUCAAACUGAUUCGAGCCAGUAACUUUACCCAGUACCAUUCAAUCAUUAACACAAUAUGUUGCAUCUUGGUCUAGAUAGAACCUGUUAUCCUUUAGCCAGAUGAAAGAAUUCAGACAUAAACUUUCUAUUGCUGUUGUGUUCUCUAUGAGAAGGAUUCAGAGAAAUUAUAGAAGGGUCAUUAUUAUUAUUAACUUGAGAUUCAGUUUUUCUGCUUUUUGUAUAAUUUUAUUUGAAAUGUUUUCAAAAGUCUUAUUCUUAUCAAAGGCAUUCUUCCAUAGAGAAAUAUGCAAAUACAGUUGUUACCACACACCUUUCAUAUAGAUUUUUGAAAUAUCUUCCCAAGUACAAUUAUAUGGAUGGCAUCAUAAAUAUUACAUUGUUUUCAGAAUUGAGGUAUAUUUAUACCUUUCUCUCUUGCAAUUAUGGCUUUUAUAAAUGUUUUGUG